GGAGAGGAGAUUGUUAUCACGACUGAUGUCGGAAUGAGCCAGGAAGAUGCAACAGAUGGAUUCCCUUCCCACUUUCUGUGAAGACAUACUGAGUGGAAGUUUACUGUGUGCACAGAAGAAGCUGGACAAAAUACACGUUCCUUGUAGGAUGUCUGGAAGGAACUUGAGUGAUAUUUACUGUUCUGAUAUGGUAAUGUACCAGUACAGUCUUCCCCCACUGCAAGCUGUCCAUGAUGAGCCAUACAACUGCAGCCCCUGUUAUUGCACAGGACCUCUGGGGGGGGGGCACUGUGCCCUGAAGUACAUUGACAGUUCAGGAGCUGUAUCAGUGAAGGAAAAUGUGUGCCUAGUUUGUGGGUGAGCAAGGCUUGUGCAGCGUCUGCCUCUUCAGUUUGCGCCAUCUACGAGGAGCCCCCAUACCACAGCUAAUCAUCCAACUUGUGAGCUGUUUUGGUGGGCAUAGUCUGCUGCAGAUUACACACACUUCAACAAAUUCAUAGUUAUGUUACUUGACUGUUUACAAAUUAGAGCAGACAAAUAUCUUGCGGUUCAUGAAAUAAUUAUAUUUUUGGAUCUAGUGUUCGUGUUCAUGUCGCAUUUGUUCUGUGCUGGACAUCAUCAUAUUUCAAAUUGACAUCUGUAUGCUAAGACCUGUGAAUAAAAAUUGUUGUACUAGAAUUACUGGUUUGUUUUGUGGGUUAGUGCUGUAAUGACUGAAGAGGUUAUUUGGUCUUCAGUUGGAUGAGAGUCAGAGAGAAUCAGGAUAAAUAGUUAACAGAGUUUUGUGUCAGUCUUUCAUACAGAGAUUCAUCAAAGUAAUUUGGGCUCUCUUACUUGUGGGUGGAU